GAAGGUGGUACCCUGUUGGACAACUAUGAGUUCAGGUGUGGCUUUGCAUAAAAGGAGCAGCAGGUGUCAGCUGUGUUUGUGGAUCUGCUGUCCAGCACGCAAGACAUUCAGCUGCCUGCCGGAGGUCUUUGAAGAUGUCUGGACGAGGGGGGCACUGUAAUCGAGGAGGCCGUGGAGGUGGGCGUGGACACGGACACGGACAUGGACAUGGACAUGGGCAUGGACAUGGACAUGAACAUGAACAUGGGGAAUGUCAUGGACAUGGUCAUGAGCAUGAUCAUGGGCAUGAUCAUGGACAUGGUCAUGAUCAUGGACACGGAGAUGGUCAUGGUCAUGGACAUGGUCAUGAUCAUGGGCAUGAUCAUGGGCAUGAUCAUGGACACGGACAUGAUCAUGGACAUGGACAUGGUCAUGGUCAUGAUCAUGAUCAUGGGCAUGAUCAUGGACACGGAGAUGGACAUGAUUGUGGGCAUGGAUGUGGUCGUGGACGUGGUCGUGGACGUGGUCGUGGACAUGGAUGUGGUCGUGGUCGUGGACAUGGACAUGGACAUGGACGUGGACAUCACGGGCACGGCAAAGGCCACACACACAAGCAUGGUCACAUGCAUAACCAUUGCCACAAGAAAGGAACUAAGUGUCACGGGUCCUCCAGCAGCUCCUGCAGCAGCGACUCGGAUUAGAUGACGCUGAAGAAAGACAAUUACAGGCUGUAAACUUGGAAAAUGUCAUCCUGUCGAUCCUCACAAUAUUCAGUAAUAAACUGUAAAACACUCUAAAACAAAUGUUGAGUUAUUUAAACACUACACAGGUUGCUGUUUAUUGUUGAACCUGUUAAAGGUUCAGCUGUCACAUAUUAUGAAGUGUUGAACCAAUACAGUUGAAUUCUCUUCACAGUAGUCAGUGUGCGACAAAUUGUCUACUAGACAGUGAUCACAUUACUCCCUUGUAAUAAACAGCAUGAAACUGCUUUCUGUUUAUCUCAACAACAAGUAACCCAAUAACUAAAGCGCCUCUGUCUUUUUUAUUUCAUUUGACCUUGUAGUUUAACGUUACCCUGUUUGUGUGUUACCACUCAGUGUGUAUUCAUAUUAUCUGUAUUUACCCAGGGAGCGUUGAAUGAACAAGAGCUUUGUCCAGCAGGGCUUUUCCCCAACGAUAAACAACACACCCUGCCGCUCCGCAGAACAUUCACACCUCUCCUCCUUAAACGCCGUGGAUCCCUCAUUUACGCUGUUCUUGUUCUUUUAAUAGCACCAUCUGAAGCAAAACAAUAAACCAGAGAAUCCUUUCUAAGUACAUUAGAAAUGGGAAGGUGAGCCGAGUAAACUGCCCUUAUGAAAUGUUACGAGUUCUCGUUGGGCGAGCGACUGCUGCACUGCCUUCUACCGACCCAGACCUGUCAACAAACCGCUCCUCCGGUCCAGCCCCGGUCAGUGGAGUUCUGUGUUUACAUAUAUGUCUGAUAUUCAUCAUACUGUGUAUACCGUGUAUGUACCUGGUCAAAGGUCUCACUAUCAACUGUGGAAACCCAUUCCACCUAAGAGCCUGUUCCUUUUAAUUCCUGCAUCAAAUGUCAAGCUCCUUCUCUACUUGAUGACUUUGUCCCAGGUCACGUGUCAACACACGGUCCUCAAUGACCCUCGCUUUGCCAAUCAGUCCUCUCAGUUGAAGGGACUACGGUAAACAUUGUUGUCAUAUGGACGACUACAACAACAUCGCGAUUGUUUUUCCUGGGUGUGUGUACCGACUUUUUGAUGUAUACAGUUUAGAUGUAUGUUGAAGACACACACACACACACACACACACACACACACACCCAUUUAGGUAACCAAGCAAAAAUGUUCUAAUGGGAGUUCAGGCCCCGCCCCUGGUGGUACGAAGUGCACUGCACAUAAAAAGGAGCAUCAGAACACGGCUCUCCAGCACACAGUAAGUUCACCUCUUAAACUGCUGAGGAUUUGCAGCUCUCAGGUUCUGGAGUGUGUGUUAAAAACACAAACUGUGCUUCCUCUUUUUCUUGCAGGAUCUGAAGUUUCAUCCAAGGUUUAAAAAUGUACGGAUACAACCAAGGAAACCAGUACCCUCCUGGUUACCCCAACAACCCUCAGCAGAUGCCUGGGGGAUACCCUCAACAUCCUCCAGGUACCGCACCGAUGAACUACCCCCCUCGGCCUCACGGCCCGUACGGAGGCCAACACGGACCUGGACCUGGUUACGGUCCCAACCAAGGACAUGGACCUGGUUACGGACCCAACCAAGGACAUGGACCUGGUUACGGUCCCAACCAAGGACAUGGACCUGGUUACGGACCCAACCAAGGACAUGGACCUGGUUACGGUCCCAACCAAGGACAUGGACCUGGUUAUGGUCCCAGCCAAGAACAUGGACAGGGCCACGGACAUGGACAUGGACAUGGACAGGGUCACGGACAGUGCCAAGGACAUGGACAUGGACAUGGACAUGGACAGGGUCACGGACAGUGCCAAGGACAUGGACAUGGACAUGGACAGGGUCAUGGACAGGGCCACGGACACAAGCACAAGCACAAGGACGGUCACAAGCACGGCCAGUGUCACAAGAAAGGAAAGGACUGUCGUGGG
ensembl:lncRNA